GAUGAACGCUGGCGGCGUGCUUAACACAUGCAAGUCGAACGGAAAGGCUCCUGCUUGCCGGGGUACUCGAGUGGCGAACGGGUGAGUAACACGUGGGUGAUCUGCCCUGCACUUCGGGAUAAGCCUGGGAAACUGGGUCUAAUACCGGAUAGGACCACAUUUUGGAUGGUGUGGUGGAGAGUUUUUCGGUGUGGGAUGUGCUCGCGGCGUAUCAGCUUGCUGGUGGGGUAAUGGCCUACCAAGGCGUCGACGGGUAGCCGGCCUGAGAGAGUGUACGGCCACAUUGGGACUGAGAGACGGGCCAGACUCCGACGUGUGGCAGCAGUGGGGAAUAUUGCACAAUGGGAGCAAGCCUGAGGCAGCGAGGCCGCGUGGGGGAUGAAGGCCUUCGGGUUGUAAACUCCUUUCGCUAGGGACGAAGCGUUUUUGUGACGGUACCUGGAGAAGAAGCACCGGCUAACUACGUG
rnacentral:rRNA from 1 species